GUUAGUGUAGUGAACACGCCAGAACAGGGGUGUGGAAGCCAAGUGUUCUCUAUUCCAGCUAUGGAAAGUUCAAUGGCAGGUGUGGUCCGAAGCCAACCAGAGGACGCAGGAGAUUGGAGAAGAGCUCUCCUUCCGUUCAGGCUCACGGCAAAGCACGUUGCCUUCUUUCUUUUGCAAAAUAACCACAGGAUACUUCUCAGAGAGAUGCUACGGAGAUGCUUCAGCCUUGAACACCAUGUUCUAAAGCUCUCCAUUGCUGAAGAAAAGGAUUUCCACUCAAUGAAAUCAUGACGCAGAAGAUUAUGCAGUUUGAGUCUCAAGAUGUAAAAGGUCUGAAGAGACUGCAUAUAGGUAGGAACUAACUGAAAAAUAAGAAGAAGGCCUGUGCUAUGAUAUACGUUGAUACAGUGGCAGUCAGGUUAUUUCUUUUCCUUUGUUCCUUUGUUCCUUUGUGUGUGUGCCCUGAAUGAUACAACUUAUUUUCAAUAGAAAUAAAUCAUGCAUCUUCAAA